CACCAGCGUGGACCUUUAUUUCUCAGUUUCAACACGAGAGCGCAACACCUCGCAAAGAACGACUGAUUUAUUUGUUCACAGCUGGUUGUGCACUCAAAAUGACUGCUAAAGAUAGAAAGGUCAUAAUAUGAAUUUGCUGACUUCAAUUUCGUCUUCGACAGUAGAGUACUGAAGUAACUCUCCUUUUCAUACGUUACAGAUAUGAAUGAAAUAUUAACUGAAGAACAGUUGGAAGCGCUUCUGAACGACAGUAAUGCCGAUUAUCUGAUGGGGAAGAUGACGAAUUUUCAUUUCCUGUUGAACUUGAAGCCAAUGAUAAAGCAACAGUAGAUGAGACUGUGGAUUCUUCUGAGGAAUUAGACGAUAGAAAUGAUCCCCAAGACGAAAUUCUUGUCAGUGCGAUCUAUGAAGUGGAGGAAGAAUGAAAUGCCGUAUUCGAAUCCUUGUGACAGCGAAAUCCAUCUUCCAGAUUAUGAAGAAGAGAAAGGAAUUUUUGAAUCUUUCUUGGAAUACCUUCCUCUGACAUUCUGGGAAGAACAUGCAUAACAAACCAAUUUGUAUUCAGUUCAAAAACGACAACAUAAAUCUGUUAACACCAGUGGAGAAGAAAUGUUGCAUUUAGCUGGAAUACAUGUUGUUAUGGGGGUUCUGGGCUAUGCACAAAGUAAGCUGUACUGGCAGCAAAAUAAUCAGGUUCCACUUAUUGCUAAGUGUAUGACAAGAGACUGUUUCUAUGAACUGAGAAAUUAUAUGCAUUUUGUCGAUAACACAAGUGAGCACAACGAGAAGCUUUGGAAGGUAAAACGUUUUCUUGAUUGUGUGCAGAAGAAGAGUCUGACCCUUCCAAGAUCACAUCAUAUUUCCAAUGAAGAACAGAUGGUGCCAUUUUCUGGUAAAUGUGGCUUUGUGACUUGCGUACCACCAAAACCUAAUCCAUUAGGUUUAAAAUGCUUCAUUCUGGCUGCACCUGAUGGCCUUGUGUUGGACUUCAUGUUUUAUGCUGGGUCAGGUACUGUGUCAGCUGAAGAUAUGAAAGAAUAUGGUCGCAGUGCAGCAGUUGUUAAGAUGACAGAAAGUGUUCCUAGAGACAACCAGCAUUGUGUAUACACUGAUAGAUUUUUCACAAGUGUAAAAUCUGUAGACAUGUUGCUGGGAAGGAAAAUUUAUCAGAGAGGUACAGUUAUGAAGAACAGAUUGGGUCCAAUAGUGAAGAAACUGAAAAAUGACAUGCUAUUUCAACGGGGGGAAUGGGAAGAAUGGGUUAGGGAAGAUAGUAAAAUUUGUCUUAUUAAGUGGAAAGACAACAAAAGUGUCCUAAUACUCUCAGCAUUUGUUGGAAGCGGCCCUCCAACCACGUGUAAGAGGUGGUCAAGAGAACAGAAAAGGAAGAUAGAUGUUCCUCAGCCAGUGGCGGUGAAGCUUUACAAUGAAAACAUGGGAAGUGUUGAUCUCUGUGAUAGAUUUUUAUCAUAUUACAGAUGGUACAUUUGCACAUCAAAAUGGCCUGUAAGAAUGUUUAAUAAUUUUAUAGAUCUUGUGAUUGUCAAUUGUUGGGUGAUGUACCACAGAUGGUGCUCAGAAAAUGAAAUACCCAAACAAAGAAGGUUCUCACUGAUGGAUUACAAAAUGCACGUAGGCAAAGCUAUGAUUAAUUACAAAUAUGUUGAGCCUGUAGCUAGAAGAAGAGGACGCCCUUCAGUAGUCAAUUCCUCUGAUAGUGAAGAUGUAGAUGAUGUACAAAAUAUGGAUAAAAAGCCAAGAAGAGCUCUGUCACAAUUGCAGAAGUUAGGUUUGACAAUGUAGUCCAUUUACCAAAAUUAGUUGAUGCAAAGAAUGCCUCAAAAUGCAGGAAUCAUGGCUGCAUUUCCAAGACAAGGGUCAUCUGCAUCAAAUGUGAAAUGUAUUUGUGUGUCAUGAAAAAUAAUUGUUUUGAAGCCUAUCACAAGAUGGUUCAAAUGGCUUUGAGCACUAUGGGACUUAACUGCUGUGGUCAUCAGUCCCCUAGAACUUAGAACUACUUAAACUUAACUAACUUAAGGACAUCACACACAUCCAUGCCUGAGGCAGGAUUCGAACCUGCGACCAUAGCAGUCCCGCGGCUCAGGACUGCGCUCCUAGAACCACUAGACCACCGCGGCCGGCUCCUAUCACAAGAAGUAAAGAUGCAUUUAUGGGCAAUAUCAAGUUAUUAUUUGGCAGAAAUUGUUGCAUGAUAUUUUUAUUUUCUUUCAUUUGUGGAGUAUCAACAGAAACCUGUACUGGAAAUACUGUAUUUAAAAAUAUUGAAAUUAAAAUACUUAUUUUCUGUGUAAAUUAACAUAAGUAGUUAAGUUUACAAUAAAAUAAUUAUUUUGUUGAAAGAAAUAAAUGUUUUUAAUGAGGAAGAGA